AUUGAACGCUGGCGGCAUGCUUUACACAUGCAAGUCGGACGAGUGGCGAACGGGUGAGUCACAUAUCGGAACCUACCGAAUAGAUGGGGAUAACUACUCGAAACUUUAGCUAAUACCGCAUACUAUUGGAGCGGCCCAUAUCUGAUUAGCUGGUUGGUGGGGUAAAGGCUCACCAAGGCGACGAUCAGUAGCGGGUCUGAGAGGAUGAUCAGCCACACUGGGACUGAGACACGGCCCAGACUCCUACGGGAGGCAGCAGUGGGGAAGAUUGGACAAUGGGGGAAAGCCUGAUCCAGCCAUGCCGCGUGUAUGAAGAAGGCCUUCGGGUUGUAAAGGACUUUUGGCAGGGAAGCGGUAACUGAAGAAUAAGCACCGGCUAACUACGUGCCAGCAGCCGCGGUAAUUC
rnacentral:rRNA from 1 species